rnacentral:lncRNA from 1 species
UGGACUCCCUCUUUUCCUUCUCUCUUUAUACCCCCUUAUUGGACUAGCUUCCUUAAAUCAGAGAAAACAUUCAACCUUUGACUUGCUGAGUCUGACUUAUUUCUCUUAGCAUGACAGUCUCCAGUUCCAGGAAAUGCCACAAUGUCACCCUUCUUUGUAGCUGAGAAACGUUCCAUUGUGUAUACACACCACGUUUUCUUUGUCCAUUCACCUGUUGAAGGGCAUCUAGGUUGGCUCCACAACUUGGUUUUUGUGAAUUGUGCUGCUAUAAACAUGGAUGUGCUGUGUCACUGUACUGUGCUGAUUUGAGAUCUUUUGGAUAUAUUCCGAGGAGUGGCGGAGUUGGGUUACAUGGUGGCUCCAUUCCUUGUUUUCUGAAGAUUCUCCACACUGAUUUUCAGAGUGGUCCCACUAAUUUGCACUCCUACCAACAAUGUAUGAGAGAAACUUUCCCCCCACAUCCUCACCAACACUUAUUAUUCUUUGUGUUCUUAUAAUUCUGACUGGGGUGAGAUGAAAUCUCAAUGUAGUUUUGAUUGCAUUUCCCUAACUGCUUGAGAUGUUGAAGCUUUUUUCAUGUAUUUGAAGUCCAUUUGUAUCUGUUUAGUUCUUUUGUCCAUUUAUUGAUUGGUUAUUUGUUCUUUUGGUGUUUUUUUGUCUCUAUUACUGCUGAUACUAUUGAUACUAGCCCUGCUGCUGUUACUAUUUUAGUCCUGCUUCUGAGUAUGAGGCCUUAGAGAAACUAUUUAAUCUUCUUGACUCUUCUUGCCUCAGAAAAUUCGGAAAUGAAACUACAUACAUGUUUCUGUCCACAAGAUAUUAAUAAGCAUGUUACCCAAAGCAAACCAAUAAGACUGGUGGAG